rnacentral:rRNA from 1 species
AGUGGCGCACGGGUGAGUAACACGUGAGCGACCUGCCCCCGAGACAGGGAUAGCCCCGGGAAACUGGGAUUAAUACCUGAUGGUCUCGCAAGAGUAAAGCAGCAAUGCGCUCGGGGAGGGGCUCGCGGCCUAUUAGUUAGUUGGCGGGGUAACGGCCCACCAAGGCGAUGACGGGUAGCCGGUCUGAGAGGAUGUCCGGCCACACUGGAACUGAGACACGGUCCAGACACCUACGGGUGGCAGCAGUCGAGAAUCAUUCACAAUGGGGGCAACCCUGAUGGUGCGACGCCGCGUGGGGGAGGAAGGUCUUCGGAUUUAAACCCCUGUCAUGUGGGAGCAAGGCGCAAGCUUGAUAGUACCACAAGAGGAAGAGACGGCAAACUCUGUGCCAGCAGCCGCGGUAAUACAGAGGUCUCAAGCGUUGUUCGGAAUCACUGGGCGUAAAGGGUACGUAGGCUGCCGCAUAAGUCGUGCGUGAAAGGCAGGGGCUCAACCCCUGGAGUGCGCAUGAUACUGUGUGGCUGGAGUAAUGGAGGGGGAACCGGAAUUCUUGGUGUAGCAGUGAAAUGCGUAGAUAUCAAGAAGAAGACUCGUGGCGAAGGCGGGUUCCUGGACAUUUACUGACGCUGAGGUACGAAGGCCGGGGUAGCGAAAGGGAUUAGAUACCCCUGUAGUCCCGGCAGUAAACGGUGCACGCAUGGUGUGCGGGGAAUCGGCCCCCUGCGUGCCGGAGCCAACGCGUUAAGCGUGCCGCCUGGGGAGUACGGUCGCAAGAUUAAAACUCAAAGAAAUUGACGGGGACCCGCACAAGCGGUGGAGUAUGUGGUUUAAUUCGAAGCAACGCGAAGAACCUUACCAGGACUUGACAUCCCUCUGACAGCUUUGAUAACGAUAAGCUUUCUUCGGACAGAGGUGACAGGUGGUGCAUGGUUGUCGUCAGCUCAUGUCGUGAGAUGUUGGGUUAAGUCCCGCAACGAGCGCAACCCUUGUCCUUAGUUGCUACGCAAGAGCACUCUAAGGAGACUGCCGUUGACAAAACGGAGGAAGGUGGGGACGACGUCAAAUCAUCAUGCCCCUUAUGACCUGGGCUACACACGUACUACAAUGGCCGUUAACAGAGAGAAGCAAUCCCGCGAGGAGGAGCAAAACCCUAAAAACGGUCCCAGUUCAGAUUGCAGGCUGCAACUCGCCUAAAUGAAGUCGGAAUUGCUAGUAAUCGCGGAUCAGCAUGCCGCGGUGAAUACGUUCCCGGGCCUUGCACUCACAGCCCGUCA